rnacentral:rRNA from 1 species
CCCCUAGAUGUUCUGGGCCGCACGCGCGCUACACUGAACAGUUCAACAAGUCUUAACCUUGGCCGAUAGGUCUGGGUAAUCUUUGAACGCUGUUCGUGAUUGGGAUAGACCUUUGCAAUUAUGGGUCUUCAACGAGGAAUUCCUAGUAAACGCAAGUCAUCAGCUUGCAUUGAUUACGUCCCUGCCCUUUGUACACACCGCCCGUCGCACCUACCGAUUGAAUGGGCCGGUGAAAUCUCGGGACGGCGGCUUGGUCGCUUGCGUCCGACUGCUGAAACUUGAUUAAACCAUAUCAUUUAGAGGAAGGUGAANUCGUAACA